rnacentral:rRNA from 1 species
UGAGGUUAAGCGACUAAGCGUACACGGUGGAUGCCCUGGCAGUCAGAGGCGAUGAAGGACGUGCUAAUCUGCGAAAAGCGCCGGCGAGGUGAUAUGAACCUUUGACCCGGCGAUGUCCGAAUGGGGAAACCCAGUGUGACUCGUCACACUAUCAUUAACUGAAUCCAUAGGUUAAUGAGGCGAACCGGGGGAACUGAAACAUCUAAGUACCCCGAGGAAAAGAAAUCAACCGAGAUUCCCCCAGUAGCGGCGAGCGAACGGGGAGGAGCCCAGAGCCUGAAUCAGCUUGUGUGUUAGUGGAACGGUCUGGAAAGUCCGGCGAUACAGGGUGACAGCCCCGUACAUGAAAACGCACAGGUUGUGAGCUCGAUGAGUAGGGCGGGACACGUGGUAUCCUGUCUGAAUAUGGGGGGACCAUCCUCCAAGGCUAAAUACUCCUGACUGACCGAUAGUGAACCAGUACCGUGAGGGAAAGGCGAAAAGAACCCCGGCGAGGGGAGUGAAAAAGAACCUGAAACCGUGUACGUACAAGCAGUGGGAGCCUCUUAAUGGGGUGACUGCGUACCUUUUGUAUAAUGGGUCAGCGACUUAUAUUCUGUAGCAAGGUUAACCGAAUAGGGGAGCCGAAGGGAAACCGAGUCUUAACUGGGCGUUAAGUUGCAGGGUAUAGACCCGAAACCCGGUGAUCUAGCCAUGGGCAGGUUGAAGGUUGGGUAACACUAACUGGAGGACCGAACCGACUAAUGUUGAAAAAUUAGCGGAUGACCUGUGGCUGGGGGUGAAAGGCCAAUCAAACCGGGAGAUAGCUGGUUCUCCCCGAAAGCUAUUUAGGUAGCGCCUCGUGAAUUCAUCUCCGGGGGUAGAGCACUGUUUCGGCUAGGGGGCCAUCCCGGCUUACCAACCCGAUGCAAACUACGAAUACCGGAGAAUGUUAUCACGGGAGACACACGGCGGGUGCUAACGUCCGUCGUGAAGAGGGAAACAACCCAGACCGCCAGCUAAGGUCCCAAAGUCAUGGUUAAGUGGGAAACGAUGUGGGAAGGCCCAGACAGCCAGGAUGUUGGCUUAGAAGCAGCCAUCAUUUAAAGAAAGCGUAAUAGCUCACUGGUCGAGUCGGCCUGCGCGGAAGAUGUAACGGGGCUAAACCAUGCACCGAAGCUGCGGCAGCGACACU